AAGACUAUACUUUCAGGGAUCAUUUCUGUAGUUGGUCACUAGAGGAGAGUGAUCUACCCUGAUCGGCGUCACAAACCACGAGGAGGAGCGAGGUGUUCUCUCCUGAGCGCGAAGCGGGCGUUCGGUGCUGCUUGGGCAGGGGCCGCUCGCCAUUGAUGACCGUUCCCGGU